rnacentral:rRNA from 1 species
UACGGAGGGGGCUAGCGUUGUUCGGAAUUACUGGGCGUAAAGCGCGCGUAGGCGGCCUUCUAAGUCGAACGUGAAAUCCCCGGGCUCAACCCGGGAACUGCGUCCGAUACUGGAAGGCUUGAAUCCGGGAGAGGGAUGUGGAAUUCCAGGUGUAGCGGUGAAAUGCGUAGAUAUCUGGAGGAACACCGGUGGCGAAGGCGACAUCCUGGACCGGUAUUGACGCUGAGGCGCGAAAGCCAGGGGAGCAAACGGG